rnacentral:rRNA from 1 species
AUUGAACGCUGGCGGCAUGCCUUACACAUGCAAGUCGAACGGCAGCACGGGAGCAAUCCUGGUGGCGAGUGGCGAACGGGUGAGUAAAGUAUCGGAACGUGCCCAGUCGUGGGGGAUAACGUAGCGAAAGUUACGCUAAUACCGCAUACGAUCUAUGGAUGAAAGCGGGGGAUCGCAAGACCUCGCGCGAUUGGAGCGGCCGAUAUCAGAUUAGGUAGUUGGUGGGGUAAAGGCUCACCAAGCCGACGAUCUGUAGCUGGUCUGAGAGGACGACCAGCCACACUGGGACUGAGACACGGCCCAGACGCCUACGGGAGGCAGCAGUGGGGAAUUUUGGACAAUGGGCGAAAGCCUGAUCCAGCUAUGCCGCGUGCAGGAUGAAGGCCUUCGGGUUGUAAACUGCUUUUGUACGGAACGAAAAGGUUUGGCCUAAUAAGCUGAGCUCAUGACGGUACCGUAAGAAUAAGCACCGGCUAACUACGUGCCAGCCGCCGCGGUAA